rnacentral:rRNA from 1 species
GAUGAACGCUGGCGGCGUGCCUAAUACAUGCAAGUCGAGCGAACAGACGAGGAGCUUGCUCCUCUGACGUUAGCGGCGGACGGGUGAGUAACACGUGGAUAACCUACCUAUAAGACUGGGAUAACUUCGGGAAACCGGAGCUAAUACCGGAUAAUAUAUUGAACCGCAUGGUUCAAUAGUGAAAGACGGUUUUGCUGUCACUUAUAGAUGGAUCCGCGCCGCAUUAGCUAGUUGGUAAGGUAACGGCUUACCAAGGCAACGAUGCGUAGCCGACCUGAGAGGGUGAUCGGCCACACUGGAACUGAGACACGGUCCAGACUCCUACGGGAGGCAGCAGUAGGGAAUCUUCCGCAAUGGGCGAAAGCUUGACGGAGCAACGCCGCGUGAGUGAUGAAGGUCUUCGGAUCGUAAAACUCUGUUAUUAGGGAAGAACAAAUGUGUAAGUAACUAUGCACGUCUUGACGGUACCCAAUCAGAAAGCCACGGCUAACUACGU